UCAAAGGGCACCCUAUUCCCUACAAAGUGCACUAACUUUGACCAGAGCCCUAUGGGCCUUGGUGAAAAGUAGUGCACUAUAUUAGGGAAGAGGGUGCCGUUUAGGACACAUUAAUAGUUCCCUGAGCUGUCAUUUAGAAAGAGCAGAUACAGGUUCAACCAGGGACUGGGGAGAGCAGAUACAGGUUCAACCAGGGACUGGGGGAGAGCAGAUACAGGUUCAACCAGGGACUGGGGAGAGCAGAUACAGGUUCAACCAGGGACUGGGGGAGAGCAGAUACAGGUUCAACCAGGGACUGGGCAGAUACAGGUUCAACCAGGGACUGGGGGAGAGCAGAUACAGGUUCAACCAGGGACUGGGGGAGAGCAGAUACAGGUUCAACCAGGGACUGGGGGAGAGCAGAUACAGGUUCAACCAGGGACUGGGGGAGAGCAGAUACAGGUUCAACCAGGGACUGGGGGAGAGCAGAUACAGGUUCAACCAGGGACUGGGGGAGAGCAGAUACAGGUUCAACCAGGGACUGGGGGAGAGCAGAUACAGGUUCAACCAGGGACUGGAGAGAGCAGAUACAGGUUCAACCAGGGACUGGGGAGAGCAGAUACAGGUUCAACCAGGGACUGGGGAGAGCAGAUACAGGUUCAACCAGGGACUGGGGAGAACUGGGAGAGCGAGAUGGCCUAUAUAUAGUAUCAACAGAGUAAAACACAUUGAAGGAAUAGCUUGGUCUACAGUAGUCUGGGGGAGUGAUGUCCUCAGUCUGGUCUACAGUAGUCUGGGAGUGACGUCCUCAGCCUGGUCUACAGUAGUCUGGGGAGUGUUGUCCUCAGCCAAGUCUACAGUAGUCUGGGUUGAGUGAUGUCCUCAGCUUGUUCUACAGUAGUCUGGGGGAGUGUUGUCCUCAGUCUGGUCUACAGUAGUCUGGGGGAGUGAUGUUCUCAGCUUGGUCUACAGUAGUCUGGGGGAGUGAUGUCCUCAGCCUGGUCUACAGUAGUCUGGGGGAGUGAUGUCCUCAGCCUGGUCUACAGUAGUCUGGGGGAGUGAUGUCCUCAGCUUGGUCUACAGUAGUCUGGGGGAGUGAUGUCCUCAGCCUGGUCUACAGUAGUCUGGGAGUGUUGUCCUCAGUCUGGUCUACAGUAGUCUGGGAGUGAUGUCCUCAGUCUGGUCUACAGUAGUCUGGGAGUGUUGUCCUCAGUCUGGUCUACAGUAGUCUGGGAGUGAUGUCCUCAGUCUGGUCUACAGUAGUCUGGGAGUGUUGUCCUCAGCCUGGUCUACAGUAGUCUGGGAGUGAUGUCCUCAGCCUGGUCUACAGUAGUCUGGGAGUGAUGUCCU